CCUUGUUGCCAGCGGUCCGGCCGGGAAACUCAAAGGAGACUGCCAGUGAUAAACUGGAGGAAGUCGGGAUGACGUCAAGUCAUCAUGGCCCUUACGACCAGGGCUACACACGUGCUACAAUGGCGCAUACAAAGAGAAGCGACCUCGCGAGAGCAAGCGGACCUCAUAAAGUGCGUCGUAGUCCGGAUUGGAGUCUGCAACUCGACUCCAUGAAGUCGGAAUCGCUAGUAAUCGUGGAUCAGAAUGCCACGGUGAAUACGUUCCCGGGCCUU
rnacentral:rRNA from 1 species